AGCAAAAGAGACGCACUUGUAUAUCUAGAAGGAAAAAAAGUAGUGGAAGAAAAUAGAAAAUAAGAAGAGAAAAAGGCAUGACCAGAAUAGUUAUGUGAAAUAAGUGAAUUUAUCGGACAUUGAUCGAGAAAAAAUAUUCUCUCCGGACAGAAAGAGAGUCUCUUCAUGUAGGAGUAGUGAGUGAUAUGUGAUUGGUUGUUGACCAACAGAAAGGAAUGAUGCAUGGGACUAGCGGGCAUUGAACCCAACGGAGUGACUUUCAUCCCGACAAAACUUCGUUCGAAUUGCAUGUGUUCUGUUAAGCAUAUUAUAAAAUGUAUCUCAAGCUUGCCCCCGAUUGGGAGGAAAUGCUGCUUCUUCUUCUUUUGCCGUUGAUGGUUAGGGUUUCGUAGGGGCGUCAUCGGAAUGUUCAAGAAGCUCCCUUCUUCUUUCUUUAGCCUCUCCAAUUCCGUUAUUCGACGGGGUAUCGUGCCAACCAUGCAUUGAUUUUUUCUUUUUUCCCUUCAGAGAGAGUUGGUGUGUAAGAGGAAAAUGUUGAUAAAUCCUAGCUAGCAUUUCAUCAACUGAGCUUCACUUUCUCUUUCGCUAUGGCCUUCUAUGGAGCCGCAAAACGUGUUUGUGUUUUCAUAAGCCGGAAUCGUUCAUAUUCUUCUUCUGCGUCUUCGGAGAACGUGAAUCGGAUAAAGCAAUUGCGAGAGAGAACAAGCGCUCCCAUCAAGGACGUUAAAGCCGCUCUGGUGGAUUCCAAUUGGGACAUUGACGCUGCUCAGAAGGAACUCAGAAAAAAGGGGAAAAGUUUUGGCUUCCAAAAAAUCCUCUCGAAUCGCCUCCGAAGGUUUGCUCGCCCUCGCCCAAACCCCGCCAAAGUUGCUCUCAUCGAACUCAACUGCGAGAUCGAUUUUGUCGCCCGAAACACAUUUUCCGACACUUGGCAUUGUGUUUGGCAAAGCAAGCAUUGUCGCUCGAUAGCUCUUCUUCUUCUGCCUCUCAUGUCGGAUCUCAAUCUUUGGAUCUUGAUUUUCUUUUCUGCAGUAGCCACUCUGUUGUGAGUUGAAUGUCGUAGUUUAUGACUAAUUUGACCAGCAUCAAUGCUUCAAAAAUCGUGAUUAUCUAACUCUUGAAGGUAGAGCUGAUGGAGGAACAGUGAGGAAAGACAUUUGAGUGACUUUCCGAGAGGACUUGUAGGAGUGAGCUGGGACUAUAAUUGCAAGAAACACUAGAGGAAGAGAUCUAGAUGUGGGUUGGACCAAGAGAGAUAUAUAUGGAAAGCAGCCAACAUCCAGUUUUAUUUUUAUUUAUUUUUUUUAUUUCUGUUUUGAUAUCACGGAAUUUUGUGGUGUAAUUUUCUUAUUUAAGUUUUUGUUUCAUUUGGUUUAGGUGGGAAAAUGCUUUAGAGCAAUCCUAACCUUAGCUUGGUGUGUAAUAGCUUCUUAACGUGUAGGGUGAGGUCAUCAAGGGGUUCCAAGUGCCACUUGAUUCUUCACAUAGGAAAAAUUCUCGUCUAGUUUAUGUUUUCUUGUUUUUAUGUUUUCUUGUUCUUUAUGUUUUCUAUGUCCAGGUUUUGUGCUUGUGAUAUGCAUGUUGGGUUUAUGUUU